rnacentral:rRNA from 1 species
UACGUAGGGUCCGAGCGUUGUCCGGAAUUAUUGGGCGUAAAGAGCUCGUAGGCGGUUUGUCGCGUCUGCUGUGAAAUCCCGAGGCUCAACCUCGGGCCUGCAGUGGGUACGGGCAGACUGGAGUGCGGUAGGGGAGAAUGGAAUUCCUGGUGUAGCGGUGGAAUGCGCAGAUAUCAGGAGGAACACCGAUGGCGAAGGCAGUUCUCUGGGCCGUAACUGACGCUGAGGAGCGAAAGCUAGGGGAGCGAACGGG